rnacentral:rRNA from 1 species
GACGAACGCUGGCGGCGUGCUUAACACAUGCAAGUCGAACGAAGAGCGAUGGAAGCUUGCUUCUAUCAAUCUUAGUGGCGCACGGGUGAGUAACGCGUAAUCAACCUGCCCUUCAGAGGGGGACAACAGUUGGAAACGACUGCUAAUACCGCAUACGAUCUAAACUCGGCAUCGAGGAUAGAUGAAAGGUGGCCUCUACAUGUAAGCUAUCACUGAAGGAGGGGAUUGCGUCUGAUUAGCUAGUUGGAGGGGUAACGGCCCACCAAGGCGAUGAUCAGUAGCCGGUCUGAGAGGAUGAACGGCCAAAUUGGGACUGAGACACGGCCCAGACUCCUACGGGAGGCAGCAGUGGGGAAUCUUCCGCAAUGGACGAAAGUCUGACGGAGCAACGCCGCGUGAGUGAUGACGGCCUUCGGGUUGUAAAGCUCUGUUAAUCGGGACGAAAGGCCUUCUUGCGAAUAGUGAGAAGGAUUGACGGUACCGGAAUAGAAAGCCACGGCUAACUACGUG